CGGGGGACACACACAAUGGAGGAGAUGAACUGAAGAGAUCUUCUUCUCUAAACAAACGAACUCUUCGUCACCCUCAACAACCAGAGCCAGCCCUCCGUAAGUUCACCAGCCGUCGACCAGCAGCGGCCAGCGUCUCCUUCAUGCUGCUGCUGCUGCGUCGUUCGUCUUCUUCUUCCUCGUUCCAGUUGAACGACACCCGCUUCACCAAGCUCCAAACGACCAUCUUUUUCAGUCAUCCGUUCCAGCUCGCUGCUGUCCAAACGACCUCUCCGAUUUUCUGCCUCAUUGACCGUUGGCUCGAAUUUUAUUCGAGGCGUUAUUGACUGUUUGGUUUCAGUGGAGUUUCUCAAAGAAAUAUUCGAGGUCGCCGGAGGUGUCGAGGUUCUGUCCGUUUUCGAGUCCGGCGAGGUCGUCGAGUUGCCAAGGUUAACGCUCGUAACUCCGGUACUGUUACGCACCUUUGGUCAGUUUUUACGUUUGAUCUCAUGUUCAAAAGUACUAGUCCUCAUGUUAAUGAAUCAUUUUGUUAAUUUCUUUUCUUGGAUCAGUUAGUUUAUUCUCUUCAAUUUAAUGAUAAUCUUGGUUUCAUGUUCAUGUUUUGUUGAAUUUGUAACUGUGUACAAAUAGUUGAUUAAAUGGUUCCAUGUUUGGUAUGAAUUUCAUGUUGGGCAGCUUC
rnacentral:lncRNA from 1 species